UACGGAGGGGGCUAGCGUUGUUCGGAAUUACUGGGCGUAAAGCGCGCGUAGGCGGCUUUGUAAGUUAGAGGUGAAAGCCCGGAGCUUAACUCCGGAAUUGCCUUUAAGACUGCAUCGCUAGAAUCAUGGAGAGGUGAGUGGAAUUCCGAGUGUAGAGGUGAAAUUCGUAGAUAUUCGGAAGAACACCGGUGGCGAAGGCGACUCACUGGGUCUUUACUGACGCUGAUGCACGAAAGCUAGGGUAGCAAACGGG
rnacentral:rRNA from 1 species